rnacentral:pre_miRNA from 1 species
UAUGAGAAUCAAACUCAGAGUACCUCAAACAGAGCCACUGGUGAUUCUUGUGUUCACAAGUGCUUCUCUUUGGGGUUGUCUUGGUUG